UACGGGGGGGGCAAGCGUUGUUCGGAAUUACUGGGCGUAAAGGGUUCGUAGGUGGCCAACUAAGUCAUACGUGAAAUCCCUCAGCUUAACUGGGGAACUGCGUCUGAUACUGGUCGGCUUGAGUGCAGGAGAGGAACGCGGAAUUCCAGGUGUAGCGGUGAAAUGCGUAGAUAUCUGGAGGAACACCGGUGGCGAAGGCGGCGUUCUGGACUGCAACUGACACUGAGGAACGAAAGCCAGGGGAGCAAACGGG
rnacentral:rRNA from 1 species